AAGAAACAAAUCAUGAAGAGUAAAAGGCUCCUCCGAAGACGCUGUUACUCUAUCAACUAUGCUUAGAAUCCUCCAUAACUGGGGCAUGAUUUGUCCAGGGCUAAUUUGGUAAACUUACAUUGAUUCUAUGACUAUGGGCGAAAGGGUAGCCUAAGACCUAGCCUGAAGGGAUAUUCAUUAAGUAUCACCCAGCCAUAUGGACACAUUUCCGGUCGUUCGCGAGAUUCAGCGUUCCUCAAGACAGUAUCAAUAGGUCCAACGUUGACGUUCUGACGGAGUCAAGGAUCAAACUGAUUGUCCGAAGAAUAAGGUAUGCGCAUCGAUUAUUGUUUGCCAUGUCACCAAUGGAAAUAAAGCCAAAAGAAGGAGGCACCAAGAUAGGAAUUCAGUUGAGAUUCUGCAGAGAUCGUGCAGAGAGCUACCUCUGAGAUCCUUGGAGGUUCGCUGCAACUACGUCAUGACUUCGUAAAGAGUAUUUAAGCUGUAAGGCAAGUGGAGAUAAGGAUUAUUCAAAAAGGCACACAUUACAACCCUCGUUUGAAAAUUACUUUACACUGCACAAUACUUUAUUUACUUUCAUUCGAAUAAGUAAUCUUUGUACUUCGAUCAAAUAGCAUAGAUUGUAUUGAUUGUCAUUCACUGUGAGUGACAAUUGCAUAUAGUGGAUUGGUGGCCGCAGUUUCUACCCACCUUCAUUGGGGUUUUCCGCGUCAACA